AGGACGAACGCUGGCGGCGUGCUUAACACAUGCAAGUCGAGCGGAAAGGCCCUUCGGGGUACUCGAGCGGCGAACGGGUGAGUAACACGUGAGCAACCUGCCCUUAGCUUCGGGAUAGCUCCGGGAAACCGGAAUUAAUACCGAAUAUGACUUUGGCUGACAUCAGCAGAAGUGGAAAGUUUUUCGGCUAGGGAUGGACUCGCGGCCCAUCAGCUAGUUGGUGAGGUAACGGCCCACCAAGGCGACGACGGGUA
rnacentral:rRNA from 1 species